CGAGCCACCACAGGUGUUCACAUUGUUGCCGGUUCACAUGGUCAAGCCCAGUGGCCACACUGCAGCCGGCUGGUGAACACGGCACCGUGCUGAGGUGAACACGGCAACACUGGCACAAUGGUACAACAAACGUAUAGCGAGAGUUAGGAGACUGAGGUUCUGCAACAGGCCAUCCCCUGUCCUGAGGCUCAGCUGUCCUGCAAGACCUGUGGAGCAGCAGUUCACACCCCAAAAAGAGGCUCUGUCUGUCGUGGCUGU